AUAUCACGUGCCUUCCUUUCCCUUGCUUUAGCCAACCGGAAUAACUUCUUAUCCCCGCCUCUCUUCCCCAGUUCCUCAUACAUGCGACCGAACGCCGCGUUUUUAGCUUCCGUGACUGCCAUCUUUGCUUCUUUUCUUGCCUCCUUGUAGAUCACCCUGUUCGCUCUCCGUUCCUCCUCGCUUGUGCUCCCUGCCAACCUAGCGAACGCCGCCUUCUU
rnacentral:lncRNA from 1 species